rnacentral:rRNA from 1 species
AGUGAACGCUGGCGGUAGGCCUAACACAUGCAAGUCGAACGGCAGCACAGUAAGAGCUUGCUCUUACGGGUUGCGAGUGGCGGACGGGUGAGGAAUACAUCGGAAUCUACUUUUUCGUGGGGGAUAACGUAGGGAAACUUACGCUAAUACCGCAUACGACCUACGGGUGAAAGCAGGGGAUCUUCGGACCUUGCGCGAUUGAAUGAGCCGAUGUCGGAUUAGCUAGUUGGCGGGGUAAAGGCCCACCAAGGCGACGAUCCGUAGCUGGUCUGAGAGGAUGAUCAGCCACACUGGAAAUGAGACACGGUCCAGACUCCUACGGGAGGCAGCAGUGGGGAAUAUUGGACAAUGGGCGCAAGCAUGAUCCAGCCAUACCGCGUGGGUGAAGAAGGCCUUCGGGUUGUAAAGCCCUUUUGUUGGGAAAGAAAAGCAGCAGGUUAAUACCCAGCUGUUCUGACGGUACCCAAAGAAUAAGCACCGGCUAACUUCGUG